AUUUAUUUGCUGCCGAGUAAAUAAAAUGCAUCUUUCAACGUAUCGUUAGGCCUUUGCAGAUACGUUGCAAGGUGCAUUUUUUAG
rnacentral:ncRNA from 1 species